rfam:Picea glauca, whole genome shotgun sequence.
GCUCAGGUGUCUUUAGACACCACCAUUUAUCUUCAAAAAAUUUUGU